rnacentral:rRNA from 1 species
AUUGAACGCUGGCGGCAGGCCUAACACAUGCAAGUCGAACGAGUGGCGGACGGGUGAGUAAUGUCUGGGAAACUGCCCGAUGGAGGGGGAUAACUACUGGAAACGGUAGCUAAUACCGCAUACCAUCGGAUGUGCCCAGAUGGGAUUAGCUAGUAGGUGGGGUAAAGGCUCACCUAGGCGACGAUCCCUAGCUGGUCUGAGAGGAUGACCGGCAAAACUGGAACUGAGACACGGUCCAGACUCCUAGGGGAGGCAGCGGUGGGGAAUAUUGGACAAUGGGCGCAAGCCUGAUGCAGCUAUGCCGCGUGUAUGAAGAAGGCUUUCGGGUUGUAAAGUACUUUCAGCGGGGAGGCGUUACCAGCAGAAGAAGCACCGGCUAACUCCGUGCAAGCAGCCGGGGUAAUA